AUGAAAUCUCUAAGUAUUCCCAGUCAAUUUUAGCAAAUAUUUCAAGCACUAAACAGUGAAAAAGGCAUCCCAAAUUUCGUUAAAAUUGGGGACGCCAAUUUCGUAGCUACAAAUGUACAAAAAUACAAAACAAAGACGAAAAACAUUUACCUUGAAUACUUUGUCGUGGCUUAGGCAUGUUUUUAAAACAAUUAGACCAGUAUAUGCUUCAAUAUUACUCUUUUAAAGCGGAAAGUAUAGCGAAACAACAAAAAUGCCGAGAACUUUGCAAUACGUGUGACGUCACAGAUUGCAACUAGGUUGUUUUUGUUCACGUCAGCUAGAGUCCUAUCCAUUUAUUUUAUUAUCCAUGGUUUCACUAAACAUAACAACUGCGCCAUCAAAAAAUUACUUCUAGCAAUAAUCUUAAACCAGUUUCAAACCUGCAAAGGCGUUGUCCCAUUUCUUUCGGAUCUCAAAAUUGAGUAGCAUUUCUGCAAACUUCUCAGCGGAUAUUGGAAGAUUUUCAAAUUUGAAGAGUAGUUUCACCGGUACUUCUUCUUCAGGGAAUGUUUUACUCCAAGAAUUAUAUUCAUCUAAAACGUGAUAUCUUUGCGUCCAUCCUUUGCCCGAGUCUAAAUCUUCCUUGAAUUGUUUUGCUCUUUCCACUUGCUUCUCGAAAUUGACUUGUUGAGAUUCUUCUGAUGCCAUUUAGACUUUGUACUAAAUAAGUAAAUAAGUAUAAUUCUUUAAUGCCUAAAGAUACGAAUAUUUACAAUUGUAAAUAAAUAAUUAAAAUUAAUUAAAAAAAAAAGACGAACAACACACAAACUUAUGAAUAGUCUCUGAAUCCAGAUAAAUGUCAAUGUAACUGGUUAUUGUAUAUUAUCUGUGAAAUCGAAUCAGCAACGUCCAACGAUAAUGUAAAAGUUUUGCGCUUGAUUAUUGUCAUAUCCUUGCAUGGAUUAAAGGAAUAUACCGAAUGGUUUUCCGUACAGGAUUGCGUGAUCCAUGCACGAGGGAUGUCGCGAGACUUUCGGAAAGCGUCAAAAUACUCGAGCCGCAGGCGAGUGUAUUUUUACGCUUUCCGAAAGUCGAGCAACAUCCAAAGUGCAUGGAUCACGCUAUCCUGCUUGGAAAACCAUUUGGUAAUUGUUUUAUAAAAUAACUACAGUGAAACAAUGACAUUUUGUGAAUCCCGCGAAAAUCCCGCGAAGGCAUUUUAAUUCCUCGUGCAGGAUAGCCUGAUCCUGCACGGCUAUUAACCAA
rnacentral:lncRNA from 1 species